UUUUGUUGCUUUAUUUCAUUUUAUCAUAAUUAAUAAGACGUCCUACCCUAGACAAACGUUGCAAGUAACGCGCGGCGACCAGCUUACGAAGUAUUUCAAUAUUCAAUAGCUCCGUGACGGUUUGAAAACAUACAUUUCAUACAGCUAGGUGAUUUAGAAUCCAAAUCUAAAUUUUAGAUAACAAAAAAAAAACACAAAAAUAUGUCUUCUCUAUUUUGUGCUAUAUUGUGUGGUCUACGGCCGCCGACCGAAUCCAUAUUGUUACAUUGUAGCAUACUGUAUAACAGAACUCGGAGCUAGCAGGUGAAUAAUUUUUAGAAGUCACAUCCCUUAUACAAAAAGAAACUAUUAAUACAGAAACAGAUGGAUAUUUGUGUCUUACUAAUAAAAGUUGUUACAGUGGCUUGUACAAGAAAAAAUGGCGUAUAAUAAUUGAUUUAAACCUUAUGAUGUAAAGUUUUUGGGUUCCUUCAUUUUAUGAGCAACUAAUUAAAUUCUCGUAUUGCUAUUUGAAUAUCAUAAACAGCAAUCAAUAUUAGUGAUGAGCUAACUCUGCAAAUCUACUAGAUACUAAUGAAUUUGGGGACUUUCUAAUAAAGCUUUUGCAUAGGCUUACAUGUGAAGAAAGACUAGUGGAAUAAUGCCCAAACAAAGUCACUGAAAAUGACACAGAUUCUAGUUCUUCUUCUAAAGAACAGGAAAAUUCAAUCGUUACAAGUUGUGCAUCUCUCCCACCCGAAGAAAUGGAUGUCAACACUGAUAACUCCGAUC
rnacentral:misc_RNA from 1 species